UACGUAGGCAGCGAGCGUUGUUCGGAGUUACUGGGCGUAAAGGGUGUGUAGGCGGUUCUUUAAGUUUGGCGUGAAAUCUCCCGGCUCAACCGGGAGGGUGCGUCGAAUACUGAGGGACUAGAGUACGGGAGAGGAAAGUGGAAUUCCUGGUGUAGCGGUGAAAUGCGUAGAUAUCAGGAGGAACACCGGUGGUGUAGACGGCUUUCUGGACCGUAACUGACGCUGAGACACGAAAGCGUGGGUAGCGAACAGG
rnacentral:rRNA from 1 species